rnacentral:rRNA from 1 species
UACGUAGGCAGCGAGCGUUGUUCGGAAUUACUGGGCGUAAAGCGCACGUAGGCGGAUUUGUAAGUCAGGGGUGAAAUCCCGGGGCUCAACCUCGGAACUGCCUUUGAUACUGCGAAUCUAGAGUCCGAUAGAGGUGGGUGGAAUUCCUAGUGUAGAGGUGAAAUUCGUAGAUAUUAGGAAGAACACCGGUGGCGAAGGCGGCCCACUGGAUCGGUACUGACGCUGAGGUGCGAAAGCGUGGGGAGCAAACAGG